rnacentral:sRNA from 1 species
CGGUGGGAGUAUGCGUUGCCUCUGGCAACGACCCGUAGGGCGAAGCGCGCAGCGCUGAGUCAUCCUUCCCCCACCACCA